rnacentral:rRNA from 1 species
UACGUAGGGCGCAAGCGUUGUCCGGAAUUAUUGGGCGUAAAGAGCUCGUAGGCGGCUUGUCACGUCGGGUGUGAAAGCCCGGGGCUUAACCCCGGGUCUGCAUUCGAUACGGGCUAGCUAGAGUGUGGUAGGGGAGAUCGGAAUCCCUGGUGUAGCGGUGAAAUGCGCAGAUAUCAGGAGGAACACCGGUGGCGAAGGCGGAUCUCUGGGCCAUUACUGACGCUGAGGAGCGAAAGCGUGGGGAGCGAACAGG